GGGUGAUUGGCUCAGUGGUAGAGCGGUUCGUUCACAUUGAAGAUGUCAGGAGGUCAAAUCUCUUAUCACCCACCA
rnacentral:tRNA from 1 species